AAGCCAUGAUUCGGAAAACGCAUCAAGUACUGCUUAAACCUCUCCCAAGCUUCAUACAGUUGUUCCCCUGGAAGUUGCUUAAACUCAAAUUUUUUAUCUUUGAGUUC